rnacentral:rRNA from 1 species
GAUGAACGCUAGCGGCAGGCCUAAUACAUGCAAGUCGAGGGGCAGCGCGGUAGCAAUACUGGCGGCGACCGGCGCACGGGUGCGUAACACGUAUGCAACCUACCUUCAACUGGAGGAUAGCCCGGGGAAACUCGGAUUAAUACUCCAUAACACAGGGAUCCCGCAUGGGAAUAUUGUUAAAGCUACGGCGGUUGAAGAUGGGCAUGCGUUCGAUUAGCUAGUUGGUGUAGGUAACGGCUCACCAAGGCUACGAUCGAUAGGGGGUCUGAGAGGAUGAUCCCCCACACUGGUACUGAGAUACGGACCAGACUCCGUACGGGAGGCAGCAGUAGGGAAUA